CUUACCUUUCUCCAGCACCAGGCUCUCUCUGCGAUGGGGAACUCUCCUCCUCUUGCCAAAUCUAGGCAAAAAAUAAAGGGGGUUUUAAUUACAUUAUAUGAUCAUACAUUGCAUAAGCCUGCCACAAUGUUAAUGUAGCCCAUCUUUGGCAGGUCCUACUCUAACAGCCUAAUGUCUGUUCUUAUGAGCUACUUACUUGGGGACCACUGACGUUGUGACAGGGUUAUGCAAUGUAUGAUU